GAUGAAGAACGUAGCGAAAUGCGAUAAGUAAUGUGAAUUGCAGAAUUCAGUGAAUCAUCGAAUCUUUGAACGCACAUUGCGCCCGCCUGUAUUCUGGCGGGCAUGCCUGUUCGAGCGUCAUUACAACCCUCAGGCCCCCGGGCCUGGCGUUGGGGAUCGGCGGAAGCCCCCUGCGGGCACAACGCCGUCCCCCAAAUACAGUGGCGGUCCCGCCGCAGCUUCCAUUGCGUAGUAGCUAACACCUCGCAACUGGAGAGCGGCGCGGCCACGCCGUAAAACACCCAACUUCUGAAUGUUGACCUCGAAUCAGGUAGGAAUACCCGCUGAACUUAAGCAUAUCAAUAAGCGGAGGA
rnacentral:misc_RNA from 1 species